CUCAGCGCCACUGACAAAGCCCCCCGAAAAGGGCAAAGGUUGGAGCAAAACGUCCCACUCACUGGAGGCACCUGAGGACGACGGGGGCUGGUCAAGUGCAGAGGAGCAGAUUAACUCGUCCGACGCAGAGGAGGACGGCGGGUUGGGCCCCAAGAAGCUGGUGCCCACCCAGCCUCCUGUAGAGCCCACUCGUGGGUGCACCUUCCUCAGAGGAGACAGUCCCCACCCCCCUACCCUUUAUGUCAUAGAAUGCUGUCACUGAGCCUUCCUAACUAUACAUACAAUUCUCAUUUUGUAAGAAAAUGGAACUGCUAAGCAUGGAUUUGCAUUUGAAAAAACAUUCAUUGUUAAUGUCAGAAGCAAGAAAAAG
rnacentral:lncRNA from 1 species